UACGGGGGGGGCAAGCGUUGUUCGGAAUUACUGGGCGUAAAGGGCUCGUAGGCGGCCAACUAAGUCAGACGUGAAAUCCCUCGGCUUAACCGGGGAACUGCGUCUGAUACUGGAUGGCUAGAGGUUGGGAGAGGGAUGCGGAAUUCCGGGUGUAGCGGUGAAAUGCGUAGAUAUCUGGAGGAAUACCGGUGGCGAAGGCGGCAUCCUGGACCGGCAUUGACGCUCAGGAGCGAAAGCCAGGGGAGCAAACGGG
rnacentral:rRNA from 1 species